rnacentral:rRNA from 1 species
CAANGUAUGCUUUGGAAACUGUUAGACUUGAGUGCAGAAGGGGAGAGUGGAAUUCCAUGUGUAGCGGUGAAAUGCGUAGAUAUAUGGAGGAACACCGGUGGCGAAAGCGGCUCUCUGGUCUGUCACUGACGCUGAGGCUCGAAAGCGUGGGUAGCGAACAGGAUUAGAUACCCUGGUAGUCCACGCCGUAAACGCUGAGUGCUAGGUGUUAGGUCCUUUCCGGGACUUAGUGCCGACGCUAACGCAUUAAGCACUCCGCCUGGGGAGUACGACCGCAAGGUUGAAACUCAAAGGAAUUGACGGGGGCCCGCACAAGCGGUGGAGCAUGUGGUUUAAUUCGAAGCAACGCGAAGAACCUUACCAGGUCUUGACAUCCCGAUGCCCGCUCUAGAGAUAGAGUUUUACUUUUUGUACAUCGGAGACAGGUGGUGCAUGGUUGUCGUCAGCUCGUGUCGUGAGAUGUUGGGUUNNNNNNNNNNNACGAGCGCAACCCUUAUUGUUAGUUGCCAUCAUUAAGUUGGGCACUCUAGCGAGACUGCCGGUAAUAAACCGGAGGAAGGUGGGGAUGACGUCAAAUCAUCAUGCCCCUUAUGACCUGGGCUACACACGUGCUACAAUGGUUGGUACAACGAGUCGCAAGCCGGUGACGGCAAGCUAAUCUCUGAAAGCCAAUCUCAGUUCGGAUUGUAGGCUGCAACUCGCCUACAUGAAGUCGGAAUCGCUAGUAAUCGCGGAUCAGCACGCCGCGGUGAAUACGUUCCCGGGCCUU